rnacentral:rRNA from 1 species
ACGUAGGGGGCAAGCGUUGUUCGGAAUUAUUGGGCGUAAAGGGUGCGUAGGCGGUUUGGUAAGUCUUAUGUGAAAUCUACAGGCUCAACUUGUAGUCUGCAUGAGAAACUGCCGGGCUUGAGUAUGGGAGAGGUGAGUGGAAUUCCUGGUGUAGCGGCGAAAUGCGUAGAUAUCGGGAGGAACACCUGUGGCGAAAGCGGCUCACUGGACCAUAACUGACGCUGAGGAGCGAAAGCGUGGGGAGCGAACAGGA